GACGAACGCUGGCGGCGUGCUUAACACAUGCAAGUCGUACGGUAAGGCCCUUUCGGGGGUACACGAGUGGCGAACGGGUGCGUAACACGUGAGUAACCUGCCCACAACUUUGGGAUAACGUUAGGAAACUGGUGCUAAUACUGGAUAUGUGCUCCUGCUGCAUGGUGGGGGUUGGAAAGCUCCGGCGGUUGUGGAUGGACUCGCGGCCUAUCAGCUUGUUGGUGGGGUAGUGGCCUACCAAGGCGGCGACGGGUAGCCGGCCUGAGAGGGUGACCGGCCACAUUGGGACUGAGAUACGGCCCAGACUCCUACGGGAGGCAGCAGUGGGGAAUAUUGCACAAUGGGCGCAAGCCUGAUGCAGCAACGCCGCGUGCGGGAUGACGGCCUUCGGGUUGUAAACCGCUUUCAGCAGGGACGAAGCUUUUUGUGACGGUACCUGCAGAAGAAGCACCGGCUAACUACGUG
rnacentral:rRNA from 1 species